rnacentral:rRNA from 1 species
AACACUUUCAGCAACGGAUGUCUUGGCUCCCACAACGAUGAAGAACGCAGCGAAAUGCGAUACGUCAUGCGAAUUGCAAAAACCAGUGAGUCAUCAAAAUUUUGAACGCACCUUGCACUUCC